rnacentral:scRNA from 1 species
GGACAAAAUCGCCAUAGCCUGUCAGGAAAUGA